rnacentral:lncRNA from 13 species
GAUGAUUUAAGUGCUCUUUCUGUAUGUAUGUUCUAUUUCCACAAAAAGGGAAAAGUGAAAACAUUAAUGAGAAAGAAGGCUUGAGUUAUAAAAUCAGAACUUUCUUCGGCCAGUCUGCCCUUCUGCAGCCCCCUUCUCCAUCUGGGGCCUCUGCCAGAGUGGAAAGCGCAGGAAGGCGUUGGACUCGACAUGCCUCGCCGCUCUCAGCAACUCCGCGUUUCACAGCACGGUCAGAUGCUGAUGAAAAUUCAUGACGUAAUUUUAUAUUGCUGAAACGAUGACCCAGGCACUCGACUCCUGCUUAAUCCACGCUUCUUCUGGCAGACUCAUUUACUAAGGCACUAGAUGACACGGGUGCUGCUGGCCGCUCCCCGCACACGCUGCCCAGGCUGAGCCUGCGACCCCGGCUGUCCCCAGACUCCACUUGCUGGUGGCUGUGCUGUGGCUGUCCUACCAUCUGCUUGGGGCACUGGUGCUCAGGGCCAGGCCGUUUCAACCUCUGUAUCACCGUGACGUAUUUUCCUUCAGCCUUUUGCAAACAAACGUUCCAAGAAGGAACUAAGAUCACGCAGUGUUCCCAGCACUGGUUAAUGUUAGACUAACACCUUGGUACGUGACUGAGCUGUGUCGUGGAGAUAACUGCCCUCCCUAAGAUCCCUGAGGACGGAGCCAUGUCCUUUCUGUUCAGUUCCUGGCCGGUGCUGGGUGACAGCUCAGGGGAUGAGUGCCACGCAGGCUAUGCUUGACGGGCUGAUGAAGGGGCGGCUGUGCCGGGACCCACCUGUCCUCCCCUCCCUCCCCCGGUGCCAUGCAGAUGUUGUCGACAGGCUGAUGGGCACGGCUGUGGGACCUCAUCAUCCCACCGCCCGCAUGACUCUGCUCUCCCAGCUUGGCUGCUCACUUCAGAAGUCCCUUAUGGAAGGAGUUUGCAGACAGAGCAAGCGACAUAUAGUGUGCCAGACACACGUUUAUUUUAACACUGGGAAGUUCCUACUAAAACCCAACAGGGAAGAGGGAGCGGACAUGUGUGGAGGAGGCCUGCCCUCGAAGCUGGCCUUGGUGCUGGGACGAUGGUGACAGGGCGGUGAGGAAGGGCGCAGGCCUCAGGCACAUGGCACAGAAGAGGAGAUUCAUGGGACAGCAGGCACUGCUUCGCCAUAGCAGAAAUGCUACUGAUGACAAAACACAGUUCUAUCCAAGUUCGAGCGACCCGCUGUGGCCACAGAGCUUGAUCCAGAAGCGCACAGAUAAGUACUUCGAAUUCUGGCUGACGGUGACUAGAGCAAUGUCAAGAAUGUGCUCCUUUGUGCAUUAAACAUACGUGAUGAGAGCCGAGCACAUGUAAAAUCUCAGUGACUUGGGGGUUUGUAAGUUCUGUAGCUCAUAGUGUCAGUGGUAGGCACCCCAAUCACACGUUGCCUUGGCACCAGCUGUGGAUUGUGCUUUGCGAGAGAUCGGUGAUCUUGCACUCUGAGAUUGUGGGCUCAAUGCAGAGGCAAAACAGGCUAUGCAGUAUCGAUGUGGACCCAAGAGAGAGCAGCAAGUAGAAAGAGGGAAAAAAGGAGCACAAAGGAGUUACCAUGGGCGGGAGUUAGCAUGAGUCCCUACAACGCGAUUCGCCCUCCAACCACAUCCGAAAUGAUGACUUGGAUCCCAGGAGCAAGGGAACGCAUGCUGUUUUUAACUGACUUUAACUCGAUUGAUUACAACCUAUUAGGAGUUCCUCAUACACACGGCUCGUGAAUGUCGUUAGCAAGUGUGUUUGACUUCUGCCACUCUAGGAUGUGAGCUCUGCCCACGUUUUCAAGGUAUAAUGUGAUCUAUAAUACAAUACCCUGCUUUUAGCCUCAUGAAUUAGAAGUAGGGAAAGGGGAAUGUAUGAACUCGUUAACUGCCUUUUCCUGUUCAAAAAAAAAAAAAGCUUUUUCAGCAAAACAUGGUCCUUAAGUUAAAAAAGUCAGUGUUUAUUAUCUGACAGAUACGUUUAAAUUAGUCAAGAAUACAUUACAGCUUCAUAAACUUCGAAUGAACAUUACGUGAACGUUGAAUUUCACUUUCUGUUGUCUCCUGGGAAAUUUUUGUCAAUUUGAAAAUGAUGAAAAGCAUCAAUAAAAGACGCAAGCAAUUGUGUAAUCUCA